rnacentral:rRNA from 1 species
CGAACGCUGGCGGCGUGCCUACUACAUGCAAGUUGAGCGCUGAAGGUUGGUACUUGUACCAACUGGAUGAGCAGCGAACGGGUGAGUAACGCGUGGGGAAUCUGCCUUUGAGCGGGGGACAACAUUUGGAAACGAAUGCUAAUACCGCAUAAAAACUUUAAACACAAGUUUUAAGUUUGAAAGAUGCAAUUGCAUCACUCAAAGAUGAUCCCGCGUUGUAUUAGCUAGUUGGUGAGGUAAAGGCUCACCAAGGCGAUGAUACAUAGCCGACCUGAGAGGGUGAUCGGCCACAUUGGGACUGAGACACGGCCCAAACUCCUACGGGAGGCAGCAGUAGGGAAUCUUCGGCAAUGGACGAAAGUCUGACCGAGCAACGCCGCGUGAGUGAAGAAGGUUUUCGGAUCGUAAAGCUCUGUUGGUAGAGAAGAACGUUGGUGAGAGUGGAAAGCUCAUCAAGUGACGGUAACUACCCAGAAAGGGACGGCUAACUACGUG